rnacentral:rRNA from 1 species
GGACCUGACUGCUAUCGGAUUGAUACUAAGCCAUGCGAGUCAUUGUAGCAAUACAAGGCAUACGGCUCAGUAACGCGUAGUCAACCUAACCUAUGGACGGGAAUAACCUCGGGAAACUGAGAAUAAUGCCCGAUAGAACAUUAUGCCUGGAAUGGUUUAUGUUCCAAAUGAUUUAUCGCCGUAGGAUGGGACUGCGGCCUAUCAGUUUGUUGGUGAGGUAAUGGCCCACCAAGACUAUUACAGGUACGGGCUCUGAGAGGAGUAGCCCGGAGAUGGGUACUGAGACACGGACCCAGGCCCUGUGGGGCGCAGCAGGCGAGAAAACUUUGCAAUGUGCGAAAGCACGACAAGGUUAAUCCGAGUGGUUUCUGCUAAAGAAACCUUUUGUCAGUCCUAGAAACACUGAUGAAUAAGGGGUGGGCAAGUUCUGGUGUCAGCC